AUUGAACGCUGGCGGCAUGCCUUACACAUGCAAGUCGAACGGCAGCGGGGGAGAAGCUUGCUUUUCCUGCCGGCGAGUGGCGAACGGGUGAGUAAUACAUCGGAACGUGCCCUGUAGUGGGGGAUAACUAGUCGAAAGAUUAGCUAAUACCGCAUACGACCUGAGGGUGAAAGUGGGGGACCGCAAGGCCUCAUGCUAUAGGAGCGGCCGAUGUCUGAUUAGCUAGUUGGUGGGGUAAAGGCCUACCAAGGCGACGAUCAGUAGCUGGUCUGGGAGGACGAUCAGCCACACUGGGACUGGGAAAGGGCCAAGACUCCAACGGGAGGAAGAAGUGGGGAAUUUUGGACAAUGGGCAAAAGCUUGAUCCAGCAAUGCGGCGUGUGUGAAGAAGGCCUUGGGUUGUAAAGCACUUUUGUCCGGAAAGAAAUGGCUCUGGUUAAUACCUGGGGUCGAUGACGGUACCGGAAGAAUAAGGACCGGCUAACUACGUGCCAGCCGCCGCCGUAACAC
rnacentral:rRNA from 1 species